ACGGGUGAGUAACACGUGGGUGAUCUGCCCUGCACUUCGGGAUAAGCCUGGGAAACUGGGUCUAAUACCGGAUAGGAGCCAUUUUUAGUGUGAUGGUUGGAAAGUUUUUCGGUGUAGGAUGAGCUCGCGGCCUAUCAGCUUGUUGGUGGGGUAAUGGCCUACCAAGGCGGCGACGGGUAGCCGGCCUGAGAGGGUGGACGGCCACAUUGGGACUGAGAUACGGCCCAG
rnacentral:rRNA from 1 species